rnacentral:lncRNA from 13 species
GGUGUGAAUAAUUUCUGAAAGCAGUAUUGUUUUUGAUGAAUUCUCUUUGAUUUUCACCUGUCGGUGAGGUUAAAUGUGGAAUGCCUGUCAUUAGACAGCCAACACUUCCUGUCCCUUCAAAAUACGAGUUCAACCUUCGAACCAAUAGCUGCCUAUACCGUGCCAAGUCAGCAGAUGGCGAUGUGCGUCUUUCGGGCGAUGCUGCUCAUGUGACGUAAAUUCUAGUGGACGGGACCAGAUGCUUAUUCAACAACAACAGCUAUCGUUGGUCAACUACCUCGGUAGGUUGAUAGCCGAAACACUCAAGCGCUUUACUAUCGGUUGUUUUGGUGUAUAUUAAUCGCAGUGUUUUAUCUACUUGUUACCCCAUUUAAUGUCAUACUUUGUUGUUAGUCAGCACUAAUUUAGCUAGCUAUUAUCCCCGACCAUGAGCUUACUCUCCCCCUGUAAAAAAAAGAGGUAUGCUGUACGGAGAAAGAGGGACUGUGGCUAAACAUUGUCGUGAAAGAAGAGAAGGAAGAGGUUGAUGUCACAGUGAAAAAAUAAGUAGAGGGCGAGGCUGUUACAGUGAAAGAAGAGGAAGACGCGUUCAGAAUUAAAGACGAGGAGGAUGUUGCCAUGAAAAAGGCUACUGCAGUUCAUGGAGUGAAGAAGGAAGGGGAGAUUACUGUCACAUUGACAGAGGAGACCGGAGAUCUGAUUAACACUAGUAACUUACCGUCGUAAUGGGUUUUUACUUUAGAUAUUCAGAGUUCUCUAGUCAGUAGCUAGGUUUCCAUCCAAUUGGCAACAGAUUUUCAUGCCAGUAUAAAUAAAAUCUGCGCAUUUUCCUACCAGAGAUGUUUCCAUCAAAUUCACUUGAGGAUAAAAGUCGGCGCGUGAUGACGUAGUGCACAUAAAUACCUUUUGUUUUAAAUUCCCAUGUACCGAAUAAUUGUAUAGCGAUUUUUACAUUAUGGACAAAAUAGCGAUAUUAUAUACAUUUUUCAAAUGGCAGCCAAGCAUCGAUCAUCAUGUCAAUAGAAUAAGACCCUCGGUAUUUAUUGGAAAGUAGCAUCAAGCUCAUCACCUUGCACUUUCACCAACCUGUGAAGUUCAUAACUUAUUGCAUCAGUAGCCUAAUAAAUUGUAUGCUUUCCGUGCUUAUAGACAACUGCCAUAACUAGGCUGAUAGGCUCCUGUUCCGAUCUCCUAUUUCUGUAGGUUGAGGCAGCUUGAUGUACAAGUACACCCCCUGGACAGGACGUUCGUUUAUACAAUUAUUAUAUAGAUUAAUGGUAUUUUGCAUUUAUUAAUUCUAACCUUGAAAACCUCUUGAAUUGAAAAUAUGAUUUGGAUAUUGCUAAAUUAAUUUGAUUGGAUACAUUUUUUGGAUGUUGAAAAAUGUAUUUGAUAAUGAUUUGGAUAUUUCAAAAACUAAAUGGUUAAAUCAAUGAAUAGUGUGCAUUUCUUGUCAAUGUAUUUUAUUGAGUUAAUUUGUGUAUUAGUUGUCAAGCUAAAUGUGUAUGAAAAUGUGAUGUUGUUCUGAGAACA